UAUUCUGCCCCACGGGGAAGGAUGAGAAGCUUCGACUAAGGUUCGACUCGAGCGAAGUGAGAGAACGUUGCCGCAGGCAACGGCCCGAAGGCGAGGCGCUUUAGCGCCGAGUAAUCCUUCCCCUACCACUG
rnacentral:sRNA from 1 species